GCCGAAGUGGCGGAAUGGCAGACGCGGCGGACUCAAAAUCCGCUCUCAGCAAUGGGGUGUCGGUUCAAGUCCGACCUUCGGCAC
rnacentral:tRNA from 1 species